UACGUAGGCAGCAAGCGUUGUUCGGAAUUACUGGGCGUAAAGAGUGUGUAGGCGGUGCUCUAAGUUCGGUGUGAAAUCUCCCGGCUCAACUGGGAGGGUGCGCCGGAAACUGGAGUGCUGGAGCGCGGGAGAGGAAAGCGGAAUUCCUGGUGUAGCGGUGAAAUGCGUAGAUAUCAGGAGGAACACCGGCGGUGUAGACGGCUUUCUGGACCGUAGCUGACGCUGAGGAGCGAAAGCAUGGGGAGCGAACAGG
rnacentral:rRNA from 1 species